GAAAGGUUAAGGGGAUGAACAAGAAUGAAGGAAUUUGAGGGGAAGGAACAGAAAGAGGCUCAGCCCCAAUCUCUGUUGAAAUUACACAAGAAAAGCCUGCCUAUUACAUUCAUUCUAUCCUAUUUAUAGACUACUAGCUGGUAACCAACUUCAUAUCUUCUAAUUUGCGUGACUAAGUGGCUGAGAGGCCGUUGCAGCCAUUUUGAAAGUUUGUUAUUCGAGUUUCAGUAUCUUCCUGUGCGUUUGUUGCAGAAUCAUCUUCUAGCUAAAGCGUGGUCUUGAAACCACACUUUCCUUUGCUUCUUCUACCUAUUUCACGCCUUUCCUUCCUUUGUCUUCACGCCUUUAAUUUGACUUUAUGACAAUAGCUUCCCCUGCAAUUAAAUCUUGUCCUCAAGAUUGGAAUUCUGGAAAUUUGCGUUCUAUCUCUUCUGCAUCUUCCCACGUUGCUUUAGCAGGAGAGACUCCCCACCAUUGUACUAGCCACUGGACUGCUGCUGCAUUCUUCUUCUUAACAAUCCUUCGAUCUAGCACUAUCAUUGGCUCUACCCUGAAGUGACCAUUCUCAUUUGUGUCUGGCAGUUGUAACACUGGAACCACCUUCUGUCCUAUCUUCAUUUUUAGCAGGGAAACAUGAAAAACUGGGUGUAUUUUUGAUGAAGUUGGGAGCUGAAGUUUGUAGGCCACCUUUCCUAUCUUCUGAAUUACUUGAUAAGACCCAAAGUACCUUGCUGAUAAUUUAGUGUUGCUUCUCAUCUCCACAGAGUUUUGCCUGUAAGGUUGUAGCCUAAGGUACACCCAAUCUCCAACCUCAAAUUCCCUUUCAGUCCUCCUUCUAUCUGCAUAGACCUUCAUUCUAUUUUUGGCCUCCUCCAGGUUCUUCUUAAGCAAUCCUUCUAUUCUCUCCCUUUCUUGUAAGUGAUCUGCCACCAUGGCCACCUUAGAGUGUGAAUAUACACCUAAAGCUAGUUGGGGUGACUUCAUUCCAUACAAUGCUUCAAAGGGGCUUAUCUGUAUGGCAGUGUGAUAAGAGGUGUUAUACCACCAUUCUGCCAUUGAUAGCCAGGCAUUCCAUCUCUUGGGCUCCUGAUGUGUCAUGCAUCGUAAAUACAUUUCAAGGACCUGAUUUACUCUCUCAGAUUGACCAUCUGUCUGAGGGUGGUAGGCAGUACUUAAGCAUAGUUCAGUCCCCAUUAGUGAGAAUAAUUAUGUCCAGAAUUGACUGGUAAAUACCUUAUCUCUGUCUGACAGCAUGCUUAGUGGCAUUCCAUGUAGUCUGCAAACUUGGUCCAGGAAGACUCUGGCCACUAUUGGAGCAUCAAAAGGAUGAGUUAGGCUGGUGAAAUGAGCAUACUUAGUGAACCUGUCCACUGUGACCAUGAUUGUGUCUUUCCUUUCUGAAGUAGGCAACCCCUCAAUAAAAUCCAUGGUGACAUGACUCCAGGAGUACUGUGGUGUGGGUAAUGGUUGCAGGAGACCAGGAUAAGCAACAUGCUCAUCCUUGUAUCUCCUACAGGUGUCACACUGCAACACUGUAUCCUUGACUCCCUUAUAUAUCCCUGACCAGUGAAAGAACUGCUUGGCCCUUAGGUAGUUAGCUUGUACACCAGAGUGGCCUCCUAACUGUGAGUUAUGGAUGUCAAUGAUGAUUUUCCUCCUGAUUUGUCCUCAUUUUUCCACUACUACUCGUCCCUUGUAUUUGACUAUCCCAUUUUGAUAGGAGUAGUUUUGUAGGGAACUUGGUGUGAGAAUCAGACUCUUGAUCAUCUCUUGAACUUCUUCAUCUCCUUGAUAGCUUUCCUUCACCUCCUUGACUCACUCAGGAAUGACACAUGUCAUUUCUGCAAUCUCCCCUUCUUCCUUGCUGCUUCUCCUGGAUAGUGCAUCUGUAACAACAUUCUCCUUGCCUUUCUUGUAUUGAAUUUCAUAGCUUAACCCUAACAGUUUAGUGAGCCAUUUCUGUUGGAGUGGAGUAGUGACCCUUUGUUCAAGCAAAUACUUGAGGCUCUGGUGAUCUGUCCUGAUUAUGAAGUGAUGACCUUCCAAUUAAUGUCUCCACUUGGUAACUGCAGUGACUAGUGCCAAUAGCCCUUCUCAUAAAUGGAUAGUCCCAAAUUCUUUGUCCCUAAGCUCUGACUUAAAUAAGCAAUAGGUCUCCUUUCUUGCAUAAGCACAGCUCCUAUCCCUCCAUAGCAUGCAUCAGUUUCUAUGAUGAAAAUCUUGUUGAAAUCUGGCAAGGCUAGCACAGGUGUGCUGCACAUAGCCAUCUUAAGCCUCUGGAAUGCCUCUUCAGCCUCCUCAGUCCAUUGGAAUCCCCCCUUCUUCAGUAAUGUUGUUAGAGGCUUGGCAAUGGAUCCAUAACCUCUCACAAAUUUCCUGUAGUAACCUAUCAAUCCUAGAAACCCCUUUAGCUGCUUCACAUUUCCAGGCCUUGGCCAGUGCAUCAUCCCUUCCAUUUUCUUAGGAUCCGCCUGCACUCCUUCAGCAGUGAUUAUGUGGCCUAAGUACUCAAUUUGAGUCUGUGCAAAGCAGCACUUGCUCUGUUUUGCAAACAGUUAGUAUUGUCUCAAUAGGUUCAAUACUUCUUCUACAUGUUGGAGAUGAGUUUCUAAGGUAAGGCUGUACACCAAGAUGUCAUCAAAGAAUACUAUCACAUAUUUCCUCAGUUGCUCCUUAAAGACUUGGUUCAUUAAGCUCUGAAAUGUAGCAGGGGCAUUAGUUAGCCCAAAUGGCAUCACCUUGAAUUCGUACAGUCCCUGAUGAGUCCUGAAUGCAGUUUUGUAUCUGUCUUCUACUUUGACCCUGAUAUGAUGGUAAUCUGCCCUUAGAUCAAUUUUAGUGAAAUACUUGGAUCCAUGUAAUUCGUCAAUCAACUUAUCAAUCAGAGGCAUUGGAAAUUUAUCAUUCACUGUAAGCUCAUUGAGUUGCCUGUAGUCCAUACAGAACCUCCAACUACCAUCCUUCUUUUUGACUAACAGGACAGGAGAGGCAAAUGAGCUAUUGCUAGGCUGUAUAAUCUCCAUUUGUAUCAUAUCCCUUACCAGCAUCUCUAUUUCUGACUUCUGCACAUAAGGGCAUCUGUAGGGCUUGAUCUGAAAUGGUCUGGCACCUUCCCUGAGUGGUAUCCCAUGGUCAUGGCUCCUCGGAGGAGGCAGACCCUGAGGUUCAGCAAAUAUAUUUUGGUAUUGUUUCAGCAUCUCUUUCACUCCUGUUGGCAUCUCUCCCUGUCCUUCCUGUUCCUCCUCCACUAUAGUGAGAAAUGCAGUGACUCCAUAUUCUUGCUUCCUUCUCCACUUGACCAACUUGCUCCCUUUAAUGGUUGUCAGCUUUAGCUUAUUAGAUUCACCCUUCAGUUCUACUUUCUCCUUCCCUUUGGUGAACUUCAUGCUCAGCUGGUUGAAGUCAAAUUCGAUGGGACUAUAUCUGGCCAGCUAGUCCACUCCCAGUACCAUAUCAUAGCUCCCUAGCUGCAAGGUGUUGAAGUUGUGCUGAAACUCAUGUCCAUGAACCUUCCAAUUCAGGGGUCUGCUGAGUUGUCUAGACUCCAGCUUCUCCCCAUUGGCCACUCUAACUGUCAGGGGGACUUGUGUCAAUUGCAGUUGUAGGUGAGAAGCCAACCUUUCAUCUAGAAAAUAAUAGGUGCUGCCACUGUCAACCAGAAUUAGGAGCUCUCUUCCCUCAAGAGCGCCUUUCAGUUUAAAGGUGUUGUGUCCAUUUUCCCCAGACAAUGUGUGAAUUGAAAUCUCUAUCCUCUCAUUACUGAUUCCUCCUUCAAUACAGUCACAAAACUCCUCUCCUUCAUCCACUCCCCCAUCAGUUACUUCAAUCAGUUCAGUUGACUCAUCCUCCAAGAUAUACUGAAUCUGAGCUUGCUUGCAGAUGUGGCCCAAAGUAUAAGGUUCUGCACACUUGUAACAUAGACCCCUCUCUCUCCUGUAGUUGAAUUUUGUGGGAGAAAUUUUUCUGAAAUGGCCUGCCGUGGUUCCCCUACCCUGUGCCCCCCUGUGGUCACUGUCCUUGAGUACUUUAGAGCCUUCAGUGUGCCACUUGUUCCUUAGCUGUGGGACAGGAUUUGGUCUGCUGUUCCCCAUGGCAUUGGGGUUGAAUGGGACUCCGUGGGGUAAUGUCCUCUGUGCUCUCUUUAUAACUUCCAAAUUCUUCUCCUGCAGCUUAGCAGCUUCUAUAGUUUCUGCUAAAGUGUGAGGUCUAGCCAUUCUCACCAUGUUUACAAUCUCACUCUUCAAACCACUUAGAAAACAGGAUUUAUAAUAGGAAUCAGGUUGAUUAGGUAGUAGAGGCAUUACCAGGGACUUCAGCAGCUCGAAUUUCUCCAGGUACUCAGUCACACUCCCUGUCUGUGUCAGCUUAUUGAACUCCUCUAUGGUCUCUUCUGGUGUCCCCCCUCCAAAUCUCUCACAUAUUGCCAUGGACAACUCCUCCCAUGGAAAUUCAGUUCUCCCAUGGUACAUUCCAUGGAACCAUAUGUCUGCAUUUCCUUUAAGAUGCAGUUGAGCCAGAUCAGAUUUCAGCUCCUCUUCUACUCCCUGGAUCUGAAAGUACUUGUUGGCUCUCCUGACCCAUUCCCUAGGAUUCUCUCCAUCAAACAUAGGGAAGUCAAGUUCUGGCAACCUGUUUCCUCCUCUUCCUUCUGCUUUCUCAGGUUUUUUGCUGACCAGAUCCAAUUUCUGAUAUUCUCCUGAGCUGCUUCCUUCUUCACCCUUUUCCUUGUCAGUCAAUUUGGCCAUCAUCUGCGCCAUCAUAUUCAUCAUGCUCUCAUACUUCUGAUCCAAGUUUUUUAUAGUUUUUUCAGUACUCUCUUGCCUGUGUUCCAUGGCUCUUAUGGCUUGCUCCAUUCCAUUAUUCUUAUUGGCAAAUGUCCUCAAGACACUCCCUAACUCAGUCAGGUCCUUCCUUAUCAUCUCCUCCUGUGUUUUAGUCAUCCCUAAUGGCUCGUAGCUAGCUCUGAUACCACUAUAAUGGUACCAGACUGAGCUAUGUGGAAACUCCAAAUUCUAAUAACAGGAAUUGAUAAUUCAACUUGAUAAUAACUAAUCAAUUGCAGAGAUAAGUUGUGAAAUUGACUUAGAAAGCUAUUUCUGAUGAAUGUAUUAAGAGUUACAGAAAGAGAGGGAAAGGUUAAGGGGAUGAACAAGAAUGAAGGAAUUUGGGGGGAAGGAACAGAAAGAGGCUCAGCCCCAAUCUCUGUUGAAAUUACACAAGAAAUGCCUGCCUAUUACAUUCAUUCUAUCCUAUUUAUAGACUACUAGCUGGUAACCAACUUCAUAUUUUCUAAUUUGCGUGACCAAGUGGCUGAGAGGCCGUUGCAACCAUUUUGAAAGUUUGUUAUUCGAGCUUCAGUAUCUUCCUGUGCGUUUGUUGCAGAAUCAUCUUCUAGCUAAAGCGUGGUCUUGAAACCACGCUUUCUUUUGCUUCUUCUACCUAUUUCACGCCUUUCCUUCCUUUGUCUUCACGCCUUUAAUUUGACUUUAUGACAGCGGGUAAAAUUAGGAUUACAAAUUUUGAACGUUUGACUGAGUUUCGUUAGGUGUCAGGCACUAAAGUUGAAGACAGACAGAUUCAUACAAAGUGCAUACAUACCACAUUCAAUUCAACCUCCCCCGUCCCCUACCCCUCUCUCUCUCCCCACGCAGAACAGAACAGAGCAGAGCAGUGAACAGCGAUAGCAUAAGCAAAAACAAGAGAGGAUGUUGAUAUUGCGACAUGCACUAGCGAUGGUGCGCAAUUCGCUGUCACCUCCGUUAACAUGCCUUUUGCCCCCAGAGUUUUUUUUUUUCUCUCACAAUGGUAUAGCAAGCAUGCCUGCCUUUGUCGGCUGUUGCUGCGUGGUCUUGCCAGAGUCACUUCAUUUCACAUAGAACGACAACCACCAUGAUAAAUGCAAAUGAAUUUGGUAGCAGUCAAAUCAUAAAAAAGUUUCACCACUUUCAACCCAGCUGAGCUGACUCUCCACCUCCGAUUGCAUCACUUCCCAUUUCUUCGACCGGUCAUCUUCGUAAAUUUUCAGUCAUCAUGUUUAUACUUGAGCAGGACAGAUGAAUACUUGGAAGGGUGGGGGGGGGGGGGGGUGUACUGUUAUCAUCUUAUGAAGUCAGCGAACGUUGUUGAUAGAAUUCGUCCACUCUUACGAGGUCAAGAAUUACACCUGCGGUGGAGCAAACAGAGCUUAAUUAGUUCUCAAGUGUAACCGCCUGCCCUACAGUGCCCACCAUCAUACUCCCCUUCCCUUGUGCUCUUCCUAGAUCAAUUCUUCAUCUUUCUCCUUUUUACUUUUCAGGCCUAUGACAAUCACGAAGCAUUUACAGAUGGAAGAAGGCAGCUACUCGGCACACAAAUUCAAGUUGUUUCUCCGUUCUUCACCUUCCGGUAGCCAGACCACUUUUCUCUCCAAACACAAAAACCCAAAAAGUGGAGAAUUCGUUGUAUGGAAACAGAAUUUUAGAGUUUUGCUAUUGAUUACAUUCAUCACCAACCUAGUAGUUGAGAGGAAAAAGGGCCCAGGCCAAUGAUCCUCAGUAAUGGAUUUGACGGUAUCAAAAUUGGUAUAAACUUCUCGAGCAGCAAUUGAACCAACCUGGCUCUAUUGUGCAAUAAAAACCAAAAACCAAGUUAGAAGGAUCUAUAACACCCAAAACAGAAAAAAAAAAAA
rnacentral:lncRNA from 1 species